UACGAAGGGGGCUAGCGUUGUUCGGAUUUACUGGGCGUAAAGCGCACGUAGGCGGAUUGUUAAGUCAGGGGUGAAAUCCCGGAGCUCAACUCCGGAACUGCCUUUGAUACUGGCAAUCUUGAGGCUGGAAGAGGUUGGUAGAAUUCCCAGUGUAGAGGUGAAAUUCGUAGAUAUUGGGAAGAAUACCAGUGGCGAAGGCGGCCAACUGGUCCAGAUCUGACGCUGAGGUGCGAAAGCGUGGGGAGCGAACAGG
rnacentral:rRNA from 1 species